UACGGAGGGAGCUAGCGUUGUUCGGAAUUACUGGGCGUAAAGCGCACGUAGGCGGCUUUGCAAGUUAGAGGUGAAAGCCCGGGGCUCAACUCCGGAAUUGCCUUUAAAACUGCAUCGCUAGAGUUGUGGAGAGGUAAGUGGAAUUCCGAGUGUAGAGGUGAAAUUCGUAGAUAUUCGCAAGAACACCAGUGGCGAAGGCGGCCAACUGGACCAACACUGACGCUGAGGCGCGAAAGCGUGGGGAGCAAACAGG
rnacentral:rRNA from 1 species